rnacentral:lncRNA from 1 species
GAAGAUUUAUUGUCAAGAUGUUUCUUCCAAGAUGUCGAGAAAGAUGAUUACGGCAGCAUUACAAUAUUUAAGAUGCAUGAUUUAAUCCAUGACCUUGCUGAAUCGAUUGCUAAGUCUCUGCAAUGUGGAAUCUUCGAUGAUAGAAUUCAAGAUAGAAAUUUAUCGGAUAGAAAACAAGUUCGUUAUUUAUCGAUAAUAUUAAACAUGGGAGAAGGAGAAGAAUUUUCUUAUUCAGAUAUUUCGAGUAAAUUACGAACAUUGCAGUUGUUAACUUCUACAUUAGUAACUAUGACAUUUCUGGAUAAUUGCUUCACCAAGUUCAAAUUCUUACGGGUUUUGGUUUGUAGUUAUCAGUAUGGUUUUGAAGAGAUUCCAUCUUCCAUCGACAACCUCAAGCUUCUGAGAUAUGUUGACUUCUGUCAUACAGGUAUAACACGACUCCCAGAAACGGUCUGCAACCUUCAAAAUUUACAGACGUUGAAACUCAACAAUUGUCGAGAUCUUAUUGUUUUGUCAAAGAAGCUGGGAAAAUUAUCCGAGUUAAGGUAUUUGGAAAAUGAUGAUUGUAUAAGUUUGGAUUCAAUGCCUGUUGGGAUGGAUCGUUUGAGUCUUUUGCAGACAUUGAAUACUUUUGUAGUAAAUGAUGGAGGAAAAAAUUUAAAUGAAUUACGACAUCUGGAUCAUCUAGAAGGAAGUCUUUGUAUAAAACAUCUUGACAGAAUUCAAAAUGUUGUUUUGGAAAAUGGAAUACUAAAUAGAAAGAGCAAUCUUGUAUCAUUGGACCUGAUAUGGGGAUUAUGGAUACAAUCUAAAAGAAGGGAUUAUGGAAAAGUGUUAGAAGCUUUACAACCACAUCCCAAUUUGAAAUAUUUAAAUAUAAAUGGGUUUGAUGGAUUCUUCAUUCCCUUAGACAUGAGUUGUCUAAAAUCCCUUACAUAUUUAGUGAUUUUACAUUGUAAAAACCUUACAUGUCUUCCAAACAACAUAGGUUCUCUUAAAUCCCUUACACAUUUAGAGAUUUAUUAUUGUCCAAAUGUCACCUCUCUUCCCAACGACAUGAGUUGUCUAAAAUCCCUUACACAUUUAGUGAUUUUACAUUGUAAAAACCUUACAUGUUUUCCAAACAACAUAGGUUCUCUUAAAUCCCUUACACAUUUAGAUAUUUCAUGUUGUGAAAACCUUACAUGUCUUCCAAACAACAUGGGUUCUCUUAAAUCCCUUACACAUUUAGAGAUUUCAGGUUGUAAAAACCUUACAUGUCUUCCAGACAACAUGGGUUCUCUUAAAUCCCUUACAUAUUUAAAGAUUUUAAGAUGUAAAAACCUUACAUGUCUUCCAAACAGCAUGGGUUCUCUUAAAUCCCUUACAUAUUUAAAGAUUUUAAGAUGUAAAAACCUUACAUGUCUUCCAAACAGCAUGUGUUCUCUUAAAUCCCUUACAUAUUUAGAGAUUAAAUUUUGUAAAAACCUUACAUGUCUUCCAAACAACAUGGGUUCUUUUAAAUCCCUUACACAUUUAGUGAUUUAUUAUUGUCCAAAUCUCACCUCUCUUCCCAACGACAUGGGUUCUCUUAAAUCCCUUACACAUUUAAAGAUUUCAUCUUGUAAAAAGCUCACAUGUCUUCCAAACAACAUGGGUUCUCUUAAAUCCCUUAUACAUUUACAGAUUUCAUAUUGUGAAAACCUUUCAUGUCUUCCAAACAACAUGGGUUCUCUUAAAUCCCUUACACAUUUAGAAAUUUCAAAUUGUAAAAACCUUACAUGUCUUCCAAACAACAUGGGUUCUCUUAAAUCCCUUACACAUUUAGAGAUUUCAAAUUGUUAAAACCUCAUAUGUCUUCCAAACAAUAUGGGUUCUCUUAAAUCCCUUACACAUUUAGAGAUUUCAUUUUGUGAAAACCUUACAUGUCUUCCAAACAACAUGGGUUGUCUCCAAUCCCUUACACCUUUAACAAUUGAAUCUUGUCCAAGUUUGGUUGAUAAUUCUUUUGCCCUGGAAUGUCUUACUUCUCUAAAAGAAAUAGAAGUGGCCGGCUGUGAUCAAUGGAUUAGAAAUUGGUCUGACGAUGCAAUAACCAGAUUUUUCUCAGUUGAAGAAGGUUCAUUGAUUUCGAUAUGCAUUAAGGAUGAUGAUAUUGAUUUAUUGUCUAGAUGGUUACGAAAGAAGAUUGAAUAUUCCACCAAAAUAACACAAACAUUGAUAAUCAACGGUGAUCAUCGAGGCAGUGAUUUCUAUAGAGGGAGACACCAUCUCAGUAUUUGUUGUUUUAAACAAGAGAAAUUACCAGAAGAGUUGGUGCAUGUUCAGGAUCUUCAAAUCAUGGCCGUUGAAAAUUGUCCAAAUCUAAAUUGCUUGCCGAAUGGGAUGAAAAAACCACAAUUUUUGAAAAUUGAGAAUUGCCCGAUGUUGGAGAAGAAUUGUGAAGAAAGAGGUUACGAGUAUGGUGAUGAAAUUGAAUCAAUCAUGACCUUUCAUAAUUUUUAAAAUAAAUUAAUCAUCUCACAACCGUUCAUUUAUUAUUAUUAUUAUUUUCUCUAUUAGAGUAUACCACUGUGUAAACUGUUUUUUUCUUCUUCCGUUUAUCGGUAAAUAACGAUAUUUUUCGUACGAAUAUGUCGUUCACAGAAACAUCUCGUACAAUGUUUUUAAAUUUCACUAUACCUCCGAUCGCUCUCUGUUUCUUUCUCAUUUAUGCUUUUUGAUUUUCUCUCUCCUCCCCUUCGCCGCCUAAAUCGUUCGCCGAGAAAUCGCCCGUCGAAAUCAUCCGCCAAACGCUCGUGCGAAGUCGUGUCCUCGCCGAUAUCGUCGUCUCCAAGUCUCCCCCGUCUUCCCAAGUCCAAAUCUCACGUUCUCGUCGUCUUCAUUGUUCCCAAGUCCUCGUCGAUCUUGUCCGCACCAUAUUCGUCUUCAUCUUAAAGUCUUAAAGUACGUAUUCGAAACCGCCGCCGUUGUCGAUGUCAUUAUUUUUUGGGUAUCCACUGACGGCGUCUUCAUCUUCUACAUUUGAAUAAACCAAACCCAUGCAUAUUUGUCAAUGAUGUAUUGUCUUCCGUCAAGGUAGCGGAACACUUUUUGAUCCCACCAUAUUCUUUGAUUGGAUCGAACCAGAGGUAGAUUCUUUGCUCUCUAUCUCCCUUUCCACCUGUGAUCGAUCGAACACGUUGGUCUGAACAAUUAAUGUAUGGCUCUUUGAGUUUUUUUUCCCAAGAACUCGAAGUCAAUCUCAUCGUGUUCAGAAUUCUGUGACUGAAGACUGAAGAAGAAGAACCACGAGGAUGGUGCAUGGUGGUGGUGAGAUAAUGAGAUUUAUCAGUACUGGUGAGAAUGAAAAACAUAGACUUACAUAGAAUGCAGUGGCUGUUCCGGCAAAAUCCCCGGGAACCAUCUUAAUCUGUAUACUCAAGUGUCCAAACAGGUAAGACCAUAUAUAAUUUUUCCUAUUAAUCUUCUAGCUGCCUCUCUAAUUUUUGCUUCUUUUCUAAUUUUUUUUUUAUAUCUUUGAAUAAUUUAAAUCUAGUUAAGUUACACUUCUUUUCAAAUUCAAACUCUUAUUUUCACAUUUAGGGGAGUGGGUCGGGUCAAACCUGAAUUCGAACAUGUCGGGUCUAAGUUUGGUUGGAUAUUAUCGGUCAUAAAACCCGAUAUACCUGAACCCGAGUUUUUUUCACCCGAUAUGAAGGACUUGAACCUGAGUUUUUUUCACUUGAUUUUUUUCGGGUCGGGUUCAGAUAAGACGUCCCGAACCAAACUCGACUCUCCUUAAACCCGAAUUUUUUUAUAAAAAUAUCUUAAAAUAAAAAUAACGACGUCUGCAAGGGGAUUGACUGUAACAUCUGCGAUCUCCAUUCCAACAGAAAAAAAAUUAGUAAAUUUGAAAGAAAAAAACGAAAAUGAAAUUCCCUAAAUCUUCACUGCACAAAUUGGUAAAAUUGAAAUUGAAUUUCAUUAAAGAAUAUGAUUUAACAUUACAUCUUUUAUCUUUACAUAGCCUUAGACUUAACCUCUAACUAUAUAUAACUGCCUAACUGUAUUCUAAACUCAUUUAUAACUUCAUUCUCUAAUACUGAUUACUGUACAUUUUUUUCCAAUAUAUAAUAUUAAGCAAAUUUGACUACAAGCAUCAAAACUGAGGAUCAAAAUUUUCAAGACGAGGAAAAAAAACGAAAUUAAAAUUAGAAUAGUAUGUUGAUGUUCUCACCUAAUUUGACAUUAUCAAGAGAGUUGAAUAUGGAUAUAAUGUCAUAUAAUGGUAGAAAACAAUGAAUUAAUUUAAACAACAUUUAUCAAUCAAAUCCAUCAAUCAGACCAUCAACUGCAAGUUAAUUUCAUGUGUUGAACUCAAUUAAACAAUACUGAACAACCAGAAUGUGAAAUUCAUGGUGAUCGCGACAAUAACAUAUUACCAGUUAUUGCUAGUACGUAUUAUGCAGUCAUUCUAAGUUGUUUUUCAGCUUACAACAUUUAUUUUGCUAAACUCUCAUCCUGAUGUUUUCUGCAGCUUUUACUUGAAACAAGUGUGGAUGUUCCUGAAAAAUAAAACAUGAUCAGCAAAAUCUAAACAACUUUUCCAAUAACCUUUAUUUAAAAACACUUUUCCAAUGAUCAAACAAUAUCCUCAAACCAAUUAAUUCCACUUUAUUAUUUCACCCUUUCAUUUUGAAUUCAAACAAAAGAUUAAUAAAAUAAAUCAACUGUGCUUUAUUCAUAAAUAUCAAACUAUCCCACAAUAAAUGCAUCAAAAUGAAAACAAAAAAGACAAUGCUUUUACCAUUGCUUCUCGAGCAGUGAGCCUGUCCUGAUGAUCAAUCAUAGCGAAGCAGCUUGUUAAGAAAAUCUAUGGCCUGUAUAUUUCUUUGAGUAAACAAGUGUUUAAAGGUUCGGAGUUUAACUAUUUGUUAGCUCAGGAGAAACUAAAUGUUGAUUGUCUCCAUUAAUGAAUUUGGACCAUGCUUUCCUGCUAUGCCUGGAAAUAUAUUAAUAUUAACAAACAUAUAUAUCACAUGUUUUCAUGUCUCCAAUUCUUUUAAUGAAUAUUUAUCUAUUUAAGAAAUUAAGAUAAAAACAGUAUAAUUCAAUAUCUCGUCGUCGUCAUCGUCGGAUCCAUCUUUAGAUUUGACUAUUUGAGUUUUUGACUAAUAAUUAUUUGAUGUUUUAUCUUAUUUAAAAUUUUAAAAAUUAUUUAAGAAUUAUUUGAUCAAAUUUUUCAUAUUAUGUAAAUAACAGAGUUUUUUAUGCAAAAUGUGAAAAAAAUUAUUAAACUCGAACACGACCAAACCCUACAUUCAAAUCGAGUUUUAUAAUUUUAGAUGUUCGCGAGUUUUGACUUGAACCCGAUUUUAAAACUUAGGUUCGAUUUUGGGUCAGGGCAAACCCAAGCCAUGCCCAUUCCUAAUUCAACUCUGAUGGAUCGUGGCUUACAAAUCGGGCGCUCACACACACACACACACACAAUUCUCUCUCUCAAGGAUUUAGUGUAUUCUCUCUCUAUUUUCCAGCCCGGCCCCUCCCUUGUUGGACCAGGGGAGGAAUUUAUAGGUUCAUCCCCGUGCCUCUUGGCUUAUAGACCUCCCUUGGCCCAGGCCCGUCGUGCGGUCGAGCCCGUGGUCGGUUCGGUCCAUGAUCCGUUGGACGGACCACGGCACCAACAAACUCAUAUUAUUAUUACCAUCAUACCAUUAAGGAUGAUUUUAUCGUUAAAUCCUUGUAGUGUUUUUAUUUUUACAUCGAAUUGACGAGUUUUAAUUUUAAUGGAAUGCUAGAGAAAGGAGACGGAUAGUUGAUAAAAUAUUUGUUUAGUAUUUGAAAGGUCAUGGGUUCAAUUUCCCAUGUAUCCAAAUAAUUAUUUCUUUUAAUUCGAGUCCAGACUCGUGGGCUCGAGUCUGACAAUUUUUAAAACGAGCCCGACCUCGACCAAACCAGGCUCGGCGAGCUCGAGUCCGAGCCUGGAUAAUUUCUUAAAGAGCCGAGCCCGAGCCUGACUUUAUAAGCAAAAGCUCGACUCGGCUCGUUUGACACCCUAGAGCCAGGGUAGUAGCUAUUACUGCAAUAUUAUAUGAGUACAUAAGUAGACAGAUAACCAGAAUAAAGGUUUUUUCCAGAAUAUUAAAAGAUGCAAGUCACACUGAUUUUUUUAAUCCAUAAUCUGUUGUUCUACACUUCAACAUCAUCUCAUUACAGAUUGCAAAUUUGCAAGGGGGUAUAAGAAGACGAAUCUGCACAUUAGUUUAGUAAUUGUAAUAAUUGUCAAUCAACUAAAAUCGGAAAGUAAAUCCUAAAUCAUAACUACUUACCAAAUCAACUAGCAUGGGGUUAAUUAUGAAUAUCCCUUAAACAUAAUAAAAUAUUAAAUGCAAUAUAUGGGGUGGACGUGCAUGGUGUGCAUUGAGAGUAAAUUUUUUAAUAAACGUACUCGUCUAACUUGGAUGUCUUUUUUGCUCGUUUGGCCAAGAAAAUAACAAGCUAUAUGCCAACAAAUUCGUUGAAUCGUCAAACUCAAUAAUAAUGCCAUAAGAUCGACAAUGAGUCAUGUUCAAAGAAAAACCUGUGGACCAUGGCUGAUUGACUAUUCCUUUAAAUGGUUCUUAAUUUAUAAGGGUGAGCCUGGGUCGGUUCAAAUCCGAACCCGGCGAAUCCGACCCGAACCCAAACAUGUUGGGUGUCGAACCCGAAUUUUUUUCACCCAAUUCAACCGAAACCUGAAUUUUUUUAUAAAAAAACCUUAAAAUAUAAAUAAUUAUAUAAAUAAAAUUUUAUUUUAUAUAAAAUAUUUUAUAAAAAUUUAAUAUACACAUUUAUUAAAUUUUUUUCUUCUUUUAAAAUCUAAACCCUAAUAUUAUUAUCAUUUUCCUAUAUAUUCUCUUCCAUUUUCAUCUUUCCUUUCCUCACCGUCGUUUUCGCCUAAUAAUUAUUUAAUAUUUUAAAAAUUAUUUGAUCAAAUUAUUUAAAUAACAAGGAUUUUUAUGCAAAAUUUUUAAAAAAUAUCAAAUCCGGCCCCGAACCCGACCAAAUCCGACAUCCAAUUCAGGUUCGGGUUAUAUAAUUUUAGAUGUUCCCGAUUUUGACUCGAACUCGAUUUCGGAUCAUGGCAAAUCCGACCCAUAUCCAUUCCUAGUUCUUUAUUCAUAGCUCACAUUUAUUUAAUCUUUUUUUUGUCGUUUUCUAUUAUUUAAUAACGUAGGAGUUAAGACCAAAUGGGCUCCGUAACUUUUCUCUCUCUCUAUAUAUAUAAAAUUGUUAUACCAGAGCCAAAUAAUAUAUUAUCGGAUAAAUCUAAUUGAAACGGAUAUCAAUUUUACUAUCUGGUUUGUAAUCAGGCAGAAACGGAUAUGUAUAUAGUAGUGAUAUUCGUCGUUAACUACCAAUAUAUAAACGUUAUAUGUAUAAAUUAAUAAAAUUAGAAUAGUUAAAUAUAAAAAUUUAAAUAACUCAUUCAAUAUUAAAUUAUUAGAAUUUAAACUCUCAUUUUCACAUUUAAAAUUUAUUUACAAUAUUCAACUUAGGGGUGGGACCCGAAUCUGAACAUAUUCAUUCCUAAUUCAACGACUCUUAUAUUAUUAUUACUAUCAUACCAUUAAGGAUAAUUUUAUAGUUAAAUCCUUGUAGUGUUUUAUUUUUACAUUAAAUUGACGAGUUUUAGUUUUAACGGAAUUCUAGAGGAGAAAGGAGACUAUGGAACAGGAACUAUCAGAUGAGAGCCAUAUAGGGGUAGUAGUCAUUUUUUGCGUUUUUCAAACUUAAAAUGAAAUUAUAUGAAAAUCAGUUGUUAAUAAUGAUACAGAUAAAUGAUUGUCUCAAUUAAACAUUUAAACCCUUAUAUAUCACUUCUAUGAAGGUUUUUAACUAUAAAUAAGGAAAAUUAUAUAUUGAUAUAGUUCGUAUACUUAUAAUCGAAAGUCAAACUCAAUAAUAAGGCGAAAGAAGACGACUGGUUCAUUUUUUAUGUGCGUCACGUAGGACCAUCUAGACACGGAGAAUGACGUUAUGUGGUUGGUUGAGUGAUCAAGUUGCGUGGAUGGUUGGAAAUUAUAAUGGAUAAUAAAAAUAAUAUUCCCUAAAUUCAAUUAGAUCCUUAUCCUAAUUUAAAUCAGUUUAUUUCAAUCACUUAAUUUUAUUUUUUUCAAUGCAUCAACGGACCAAAUUAAACGUUUCCAAUUAUAAAGAAAGAUCAAAUUUGACCACCGGUUCCGAAUAUUGUCAUUCUACCUUUCAAAAUUUCUUCUCCGCAAACGAUCGAAGCCAUGGAAUCGGUGCUAUCAUUUCCUCUGGGAGAGGCCUCAAAAAGUCUCAUGAAAACUCUGGGGGCGGAAAUCACACUCAUAAAAAAUGCUCCGGACGAAUUGGAAAACCUGAAAAGACUCAAGACUGUCAUCGCCAAUGUUCAACAAGACGUUGCCGGCCAGGAAUUAAGCCAACAACAUGCUGGUUGGCUCGAUGAGAUGAUUGAUGCUGCGUAUGAUAUCGAGGAUAUCAUAGAUCUGUCUAGUACAGAGAUUCUUCGACGGAGAAGCUACAACAACAGGAAAUUAACUCGUUAUACCUGCCGGGUAAUUGAUUUUUUUUCUUACACCAACAAUCCUCUUAUUUUUCGCCACAAAAUAGGAAAAAGUGUGCAAAAAACAUUCGCUAGAUUGGCUAAUAUUGCGAAAGAGAAGGGAUACCAUCUUACUCUUAGCGGGAGGGAUGGAGUGGAAAAUCUGAGUACAAAGAUGCCAGAGACCUUUUCUGAAAUGGGUGGGGAUGUUGUACUGGGAAGAGAUCAUGAUCUCAAAAUUAUACUUGAACAAUUAUUGUUUAAAGAGGAAACAAACAUCGAGGUGCUUGUUUUAGUCGGAAUGGGUGGUGUUGGGAAGACUGCACUUGCAAAACUAGUGUACAAUAAUAGUCAAGUAGAUGCUCUCUUUGGUGAAAGAAAGCUUUGGGUUUGCGUAUCAGAAAUUUUUGAUCUGUCGAAAAUUUGCAAACAUGUUAUUGAGCAAAUAGAUGGAGAGUGUAAAGUCAAAGGAUUGCAAGCGUUGAGCAAGAAAUUAAAAGAGCUUUUACAAACAAACAUAUAUUUAUUAGUUUUGGACGAUGUUUGGACCAAUUCAAGUUUAACUUUGGAUUCUUGGUCGAAUAUGAAAUUAUUGUUUCAUAAUUGUAAGAUUCUGCUAACAACUCGUGAGGAGAAUGUAAAAUCUGUGAUUUUACCAGAACCCUACAUGCAUCGUGUGGGAUGUCUACCUGAGGAUGCUUCCUGGUCAUUGUUCAAGAAUAUUGCAUUUUCCAAUGGUAACGUUCCAGAGGAAUUGAAAGACAUCAGCAAAAGUAUUAUGAAAAAAUGCAAAGGUGUACCUCUAGCUGUGAGGGUUCUUGGUAGCAUGAUGCGUAAAAAAAAUUUUAUUUACUGGAAAGAGAUUGAGAAAAACAAUAUUUUUGAUCCUAAUAUUGAAGGUGAAAAUAGAAUAUUCUCAAUUCUAAAAUUCAGCUAUCAUAAUCUUCCUUUAAAGUCAAAGUUUUGCUUUGUCUACUGUUCUAUUUUCCCCAAAGAUUCGGAUAUAGAGAAAAUAGAAUUGAUCCAACAAUGGGCAGGCAAUGGUUUUAUUUCGCUUAACGAGGGAAAUAAGAUUUUCGAAGAUUUAUUGUCAAGAUGUUUCUUCCAAGAUGUCGAGAAAGAUGUUUACGGAAGCAUUACAACAUUUAAAAUGCAUAAUUUAAUCCAUGACCUUGCUGAAGCGAUUGCUAAGUCUCUGCAGUAUGGAAUCUUCGAUGACAGUAUUCGAGAUAGAAAGCAAGUUCGUUAUUUAUCGAUGAUAUUAAACAUGGGAGAAGAAGUUUCUUAUUCAGAUAUUUCAAUCAAAUUGAAAGAUGCAUGUGUAUUACGAACAUUGCAGUCUUCAUCUUCUGAUAUAGUAAGUGAGAAAUUUCUGGAUAAUUGCUUCACCAAGUUCAAAUUCUUGCGGGUUUUGGUUUGUAGUGGUCAGUAUAAGCUUAAACAUGUUCCAGCUUCCAUCGACAACCUCAAGCUUCUGAGAUACGUUGACUUCUCUUAUAUGGGCAUAACAAGACUCCCAGAAACGAUAUGCAACCUUCCAAAUUUACAGACGUUGAAAAUCAACUAUUGCUUUAAUCUUACUGUUUUGCCAAAGAAGUUGAGAAAAUUAUCCGAGUUAAGGUAUUUGGAAAAUGAUAGAUGUAUUGGUUUGGAUUCAAUGCCUGUUGGGAUAGAUCGCUUGAGUCUUUUGCAAACAUUGAAUACUUUCGUAGUGAAUGAUGGAGGAACAAAUUUAAAUGAAUUAAGACAUCUGGAUCAUCUAAAAAGAAGUCUUUGUAUACGAAAUCUUGACAGAAUUCAAAAUGUUGUUUUGGAAAAUGGAAUAUUAAAUAGAAAGAACAAUCUUGCAUCAUUGGAGCUGUUAUGGAGAUUGCAGGAAGAAAAUGAAGUAACGAAUCAGAAUGAUGAAAAAGUAUUACAAGCUUUACAACCACAUCCCAAUUUGAAAUCUUUAAAUAUAACCAGGUUUAAUGGAUUCUUCAUUCCCUUAGACAUGAGUUGUCUCCAAUCCCUUAUCUACAUGAAGAUUUCUGAUUGUAAAAACCUUACCACUCUUCCCAACGACAUAUGUUCUUUCCAAUCCCUUACACAUUUAAAGAUUAAAAAGUGUUACAACCUCACCUCUCUUUCCAACGACAUGUGUUCUCUCCAAUCCCUUACACAUUUAAAGAUUAAACAUUGUUACAACCUCACCUCUCUUCCCAACGACAUGUGUUCUCUCCAAUCCCUUACACAUUUAAAGAUUUCUUAUUGUCGAAACCUCACUACUCUUCCCAACGACGUGUGUUUUCUCCAAUCCCUUACACAUUUAAAGAUUUCUGAUUGUCGAAACCUCACCACUCUUUCCAACGACAUGGGUUGUUUCCAAUCCCUUACACAUUUAGAGAUUUCUUCUUUUGAAAACCUUACCUCUCUUUUCAACGACAUGAGUUUUCUCCAAUCCCUUACACAUUUAAAGAUUAAAGAUUUUGAAAACCUCACCUCUCUUCCCAACGACAUGGGUUGUCUCCAAUCCCUUACACAUUUAGAGAUUUCUUCUUUUGAAAACCUUACCUCUCUUCCCAACGACAUGAGUUCUCUCCAAUCCCUUAUACAUUUAAAGAUUAAAGAUUUUGAAAACCUCACCUCUCUUCCCAACGACAUGGGUUGUCUCCAAUCCCUUACACAUUUAGUGAUUGUUCAUUGUCAAAAUCUUACAUCUCUUCCCAACGACAUAUGUCGUCUCAAGUCCCUCACUACUUUAACAAUUAAAUCUUGUCCAAGUUUGGUUGAUGUUUCUUUUUCUUUGGAAUAUCUUACUUCUCUAAAAGAAAUAGAAGUGGCCGACUGUGAUCAAUGGAUUAGAAAUUGGUCUGACGAUGCAAUAAGCAGAAUUUGCUCAGUUGAAAAACAUUCAUGGAUUUCGAUAUGCAGUAAGGAUGAUGAUUUAUUGUCUAGAUGGUUACGAAAGAAGAUCAAUUCCACCAAAAUAUUAGAUAGAUUGCAUAUCAACGGUGGCCAUGGAAACAAUAAUUUUUCUUUAAUGUACGUGCCACACGAGCUCAGUAUUUGUUGUUUUAAACAAAAGAAAUUGCCAGAAGAGUUGGUGCAUGUUCAGGAUCUUAAAUAUUUGUGCAUUGAAAAUUGUCCAAAUAUAAGUUACUUGCCGGAUGGGAUGAAAAAACCACAGUUUUUGUGGAUUGAAGAUUGCCCAAUGUUGGAGAGGUAUUGUAAAAAAAGACGUUACAAGUAUGAUGAUUAUAAUUAAUUCUUCACUUAAUCCAAGAAGAGCUAGCAGAUUUUAUCUUGAUGAACAUAUUUCUACCACAACAAUUCCAAUGGUAAAACUUCGUUUUUUUACUCAUUGUGUUUUAACAGGAUUUUUUGGAACUGUUUGUAAUUAGUUGAUUUUUUCGGAACUGAUAGAUUUUCUACCGGUUACAUAUACUCCUUACUAUCGGACCUGGUUCGUAUUUCUUCAUCAGCGGUGUUUCCACACAUUGCAAAAAAGGACAGAAGAUGAUCGUCAAGGUUUGAUCUACUUAUAUUAACCAUGUUCCGUCAGAAUCUCCAUCAGAAUCGCCGUCUUCGUUUCUUACAAAUCGAACUGACUCCACUCCUGCAUCUUCUCCUGAAACGCCGAAGCCGAAGUCCAACGAUGUUGUUGCGACUAACAUCUUCUUUGCAUUGUCGCCUCUUUGUGCGGUCUUGUAUCUUUCUUCUUUCUUUGAUUGUUGUAGAAUCUAUUUUUGUUUGAUUGUUGAAUAAUCUUUUUUUUAAACUUUCUUUCUGCUACGACUCCCUGAGCAUAGUGGAUCUGCUACGACUCUCUGAGUCUUACACUUGAAAUGAUUUCUAUAAACUUGAUUAAAUGGAAUACUAAGAUUCUCUGCAUCACUUAUACCAUAUUUUCAAAUAGCGUUUUGCCCUAGCCGGAUCUGAGUACGGAUCUGCUCCAAUAUCAUUGAUUUUUUUUAAUCUGUUUUAAAAAUAGAUUAGGGCUCCCAAUGGUCAUACUCUCCUUCUUCCUCCACCAGUCAUCCUUCUUCCAUUGGCUAGGCUUCCUCCAACCAGCGACCUUCUUCUCUGGUGACCUCAGGUGACAUCCAGGGAACAGUUUUUUCCGACCAGAACUUUCAUUUUUGUAGGAACAUCAUUUCCUUGAGUUUUUCUGUUUUUUGUAACUACUAUUAUAUAUAUGAGGAUUAUUUUUGGGUAGCCCCUUAAACUUAUUUUUGGAUGCCCCAAUCAUAAACCAACGAAUGAUGAUUAUCAAAUGGCGGGAAGAGGUAUUUAAUUGGGUUUUGAAAAUCAAAUUGGUCUCAAUCUUUAUUUAUAAUUAUUUUAUAUAUAUUAUCAUGGUUUAAAUCAUAUCUUAUCUUCCAAUUCAGCUGCGUUUUACAAACUUGGAUGAUAUCUACUUGUUCAAUUUCAUCUAUCUUCGGAAGUGAAAGACAAAGUAGUUGAGUUAAUGGUUUGAUCAGGUCGUAUAUUAAUUUCAACUUUGAUUUUUUCCCAAAGAGAUUCCUUUCAUUUUAGCCGAUGAGGAUCAGAAUCUCUAGUAAAUAUCACAUAAAUGGUUGGCCAAUGUUGAUUGUCUCCAUUAAUGAAUUUGGACCAUGCUUUCCUGCUAUGCCUGGAAAUAUAUUAAUAUUAACAAACAUAUAUAUCACAUGUUUUCAUGUCUCCAAUUCUUUGUUAAUGAAUAUUUAUCUAUUUAAGAAAUUAAGAUAAAAACAGUAUAAUUCAUUAUCUUAUACCUCCCAACAAGUGUUUGAAGUUGAGGAUCGAUCAAGCUCCAAAUGGUAUUUUUUAGAUAAGAAUCUAGUUCAUCUGUUCCAAGAACCUGAAAAAUAAAAUAGGAACGUACAUGGUUUUUUGUUUGAUCGAUAUACAAAGAGCUAAAAAACUUCAAUCAUUUAAUUAAAGCAUACCACCAGAUGACAAUCGAUGAUAAAUCACAAAGAAUUAACGAUAGAAUUCAUUGAUGGGAAUAAGAGAGUGCUGCUACAGGGAGAUCCCUAUCUGUCGGAAUCAGAAAUUAUGUACAAAAUCGAGUUUUUUUGUUGUCUCCAAAACUACUAGUUAUUGUAUUUAUCUACCGUGGGAUGUUUAUUUGAAAUCUGUCUAUCUUGGUGUAGACGUAUGUCUAUGGUGAUCUCUAUCGCUGUGGUGAUCUCUAUAGACGUACUAGCAGAUUUCUAGUCCUAAUAGCCCACCUCCCCGCAGUGCACACCAAGAAGUUGCUUGGAAGGAUCAUCUAUAUAUGUUUGGUAAGUUAAGUUGUACUUGAAGUGCUAUUAUUUAAUGACAUGAACAUAUUAUUUAAUCAAAUUAAGUUGUAAUAUAUAAAUAAAUACCACUAAGUGAAUUUUAAAAUGCUUAAUUCCCUUAACCCAACUUCCGUUUCUCAAUCUCUACAUGGUAUCAAAGCCUUCUAAGGCUCCAAUAACACCAAGCUCCCACUGAAGUACAACAUAAACUCUGUCUUCCGAACGGCGAUGGAAAAGCUCGACUAUACUUGCUGGCACUCUCAGUUUAAGACAGUCCUCGAGCUCCAUGAGCUCACACAGAUUGUGAAGGAGGACCCGCCAUCGACGGAAGAAAGCCUUGACUACGAGGACUGGCGACAUGCUGACCGGUUGGUCAUGACUUGGAUUAAGUUCACCGUCGCCACUUCCGUCCAGCAGAUGAUUGUUUCCUGCAAAAUGGCCAAGGAGGCAUGGGAUCGAUUGGAGAAGUUUCUCUCCCCACUGUGCGUGAUUCACGUGAAGAAUCUUCGCAAUAACAAGUUGUGCACGGCCAAGAAGACCCCUGAGAAUUCUAUGACGGAUUACUUAGUCAUGAUUCGCACCACUGCUGACGCUCUAGCCACGGCAGGCUCACCAGUCCCGGAUGAUGAUAUUGUAGGCUACACGCUUGAUGGACUCGACUUCAACUAUAUAAGGAUCCAGUCGACGUUGCAACUCCAACCAGGUCUGACGUUUGAUGAACUUCUGUCCUUACUAAUCCGCGAGGAGGAUUCGAUUCAGAGGAACCAACCACCUGAAACACCGGCGGCACUAUAUGCACGAAACAACGCUCCACGAACAGGGGAGUCUGGACGUGACAAGAGUCGCAACCGAGGUCGUGACAGAAAGGGAAAAUCGAAUCGCUAUAAAGGAAGUAGGACCGACGACAAAUCAAAAACCGUUGAAGAACACACUGCUGCUCCUCCCACUGGAUCAGGAACGACUCCACCGCUGCUACCAACACCGACGGCGAUGCAAUUUUCCGGCCCAUGCCAAAUCUGCGCGCGAUUCGGACACCACGUGAGAGCUUGCCCAGACAGGAACAAUCAUGUGUUUGUUGCAGAUUCUACAACCUCUGGAAUGUCUGCCCUCUCACUAUCUGGUCCAAUCUCAGGGGAAAGUUCCACUUCUGGGUCAUCUGCAGGCGACUGGCGCCUUGACUCGGGAGCCACGCACCACAUUACUCCGUCGUCGUCUGCCCUGACUCAACCUCGCCGGUACAAUGGUAAUGAUCGAAUUUUAAUAGGAGAUAGAUCAUCUCUUCCAAUUGCCCACUCGGGCACUAUUGAUGUACGCACGGAGGAUGGUGAGAUUCGACUCACCAAUACCCUCCACGUACCUGGACUAUAUCGAAACCUUCUAUCCAUGAAGUGUCUCGCCACUGACCUGCAAGCUUUCAUUCUUAUUGACGAAUUUGGUUUCACCGUGAAGGAGAAAGCGUCCGGGAGGACGAUCGCUCGUGGACUUAAUAACAAAGGAAUGUACCACUUGUCCGGUCGACACUUUAGAGGUGCGGCGAUGACAGGGGUGGGGUACACACAAGUGUGGUCGGGUGGCACCACAGGCUCGGCCAUCCAUCUGAUACCGUCCUAAAGAAAGUUAUCUCGCUCGUUCCAGUUCGUGGCCCUUCGCGACUGCAAUUUUGUCAAGUUUGUGCCUUGAACAAAGGCAGACGACUGUCGUUCUCCACGAGGUCCUCCACUGCCUCUCGGCCACUGGAAGUGUUACAUCUCGAUUUGUGGGGACCGGCGCCGGUGGUCUCUAAGGAGGGAUACAAGUUUUAUUUCAGUAUUGUUGAUGAUUUUUCCCGAUUUUCUUGGAUUAUGCCUAUGGCGUUUAAAUCAGAAUGCUAUGCCUAUUUCUCUAAAUUUGUUCGUCGAAUUGAAAAUCAACUUAUUCACAGAGUAGUAUGGGUUCAAUGCGACGGGGGUGGGGAGUUCAUCAACAUGGAAUUCACAAACUUUCUGGUAUCUAAAGGGAUAUAGAGACGAAUCUCGUGCCCACAUACGCCGCAGCAGAACAGCGUCGUCGAGAGAAAGCACCAGCAUCUAGUCCAAAUUGGAAGGUGUCUACUGAACAAUUCCGGCAUUUCUCAUCUGUACUAGACACAUGCGUUCCAGAGUGCGGUAUUUAUUGCCAACAGACUACCGACUCCUGUCCUCGGCAAGACGAGUCCGUUUGAAAAAUUGUUGAAUCGAAUGCCGGAUUAUAGCAUACUUCGUAAUUAUGGGUGUUUGUGUUUUCCACUAAUUCCAAAUUAAAAGCGAUGCGGAGCAAGCUCGACACUACGUCCAGACCGUCGUGUUUCAUUGGCUACGCCAAUGAAUAUAAGGGCUACAUUUGCUUAGACCCGAUCACCGGGAAAAUUGUGGUGUCGUGGCAUGUUCUAUUCGAGGAGAACACUAUGCCGUUUCAUCUCAAACAAAGUACAGAUGAGACCAGCAACGGCUCGGAUGAGCUGUUUUGUUUGUUGCAGAGUCUCCCAGUCGUCACUGACAACUCACCAACAUCACACAGUCACAGAGCAGACUACACCCGAUAAUUCGAGCUCCAGUCUCUAUGCUCCCGAGACUGUACCGUCUCACAUGAUCUCUGACCCAAGAUCGUCCUCGACUGAAGCAGUAUCGUCUGUCGAUAGAACAGUACCCCCAUCGACGCAUCUAUCAGCAGGCACGCUGAAGAGAUCGCAACGUACGUCGCAGCGACCGAUACGCUUCAGAGAUUUCGUAGUCGACCUUCCCAAGGAAGCCCACAUAUAAAGAAUAUCCGCGAUUUCCGACGUCGACAAACCAACUGACAUCAAGCAGAUCAGAGAGCCGCGAACAGUCCGAGAGGCCGUACUCGACCCACAAUGGGUGGCAGUGAUGGAAGUCGAACUCGAAGCGUUAUCGCGGAACAACACGUGGGACUUAGUCCGGCCUUCUCCACGUAUGAAUAUCGUCGGAUGCCGAUGGGUUUUCAAACUCAAAGAAAAGGCCCGCUUAGUCGCGAAGGGCUUCCAUCAACGAGAAGGGCAGGACUUCGAUCUUACAUACAGCCCUGUAACCAAAGCGGCAACAAUCAGAACCAUCCUCGCCUUGUCCACGGCCAAGGGAUGGCCGUUGCAUCACCUGGAUGUUUGCAACGCGUUUUUGAAUGGAAGGCUCACUGAAGUCGUGCACAUGUCACAGCCGCCGGCGUUCAUAAACAAAGAAUUUCCCAAUCACGUUUGUCGCUUGAACAGGGCUCUGUAUGGCCUCAAACAAGCACCACGAGAGUGGUACCGGCGCCUGAGUACCUUCCUCAAAAGGAUUGGAUUCGUCAAUAGUCAGGCAGACUUUUCGCUCUUCAUUCGCCGAUUCGUUCUGCAGUGUGUAUAUGUGCUGGUAUACGUGGACGAUUUCAUCAUCACCGGGAGUCACCCAGCAGAGAUUAAAUCGUUUAAGCGUACGGUAUGCAACAAAUUUCAGUGCCUAUAUCUGGGAAGUCUGUCAUACUUCCUUGGAUUGGAAGCCAACAUUGCGAACGGAAAUCUACUAAUCACUCAGAGGAAAUACUCGAUGGGGCUACUCCAACGAUUUGGGCUAGUCGAAAGUAAACCUAUUGCUACACACGAGGCUCCGGGAAAGCAUCUAUCCAAGGAUGGCGGUGAAUUAUUCGACGAUCCCCAAAGGUAUCGAAGUCUUGUAGGCGCCCUACAAUACCUGACGCUGUCGAGACCGGAUAUCGCUCAUGCCGUCAAUCAAGUUUGCAAGUAUAUGCAACAUCCUACUGCCGAUCACUGGAAGGCUGCCAAGCGAAUUCUCCGGUAUAUUAAAGGCACGCUCCACAUGGGUCUGGAAUUUCGUUCCUCGAAGUCGACUGAUCUCCAGGUAUACGUCGAUUCGGAUUGGGCCGGCGAUCCAGAUGAUGGAGGUCGACGACAGGGUCCUGCAUUUUUCUUGGACCAAAUCUGGUCACCUGGAUGUCGCAUAAGCAACCCACGGUGUCGCGAUCUUCGGCGGAGGCCGAAUACCGGGCUAUUGCCUAUGCGACUGCAGAACUCCGUUGGUUAUGCCAACUACUACGAGAAUUGGGAAUUCACCUACCGCGGUCGAUUCUGAGCGACAGUAAAUCGGCUAUGUUCAUGGUGAACAAUCCGGUUGUGCAAGCAAGGACGCGACAUAUGGAGAUCGACUACCAUUAUGUCCGCGAAUUUGUGGCUAACAGAUCCCUUACAGUACAACACAUUUCAAGUGCAUUUCAGAUCGCUGAUCUGUUCACGAAGGCACUGUCCACGGAUCUGUUUCGCCGGCACCGGCGUCGACUCAAUCUCGUCGACGUUUCGCCGUCGUGAUUUAAGGGGAGUAUUGGAAUACAGAUAAUGUUAGGGUCAUUAUAGAUAUUCAUACAAUCAAUGUACUAUAAAUACAGCACAUAGGCAUGCUGUAAUCUAUACGAAGUAUAAUACAGAGCAUCCCUUAACCCAACUUCCGUUUCUCAAUCUCUACAUUAAUCACCCUUGAAAAUUUCUUAAGGUGUUUCCUUUAAAUCGUCUGUUUCUGAAUUUGAAUGUUAUCAAUUUCAGUAUUCUUUAUUUCUUUCUUUCAUCUGUUAUAUUAUAUUUUCUCUAUAGGAGGUGAAUUUACAUCCCCAAACCAAGAACGUUUUCAUCACUACAAGGUAUCUCUUUUUAAUAUUAUGUGGUAGCAACAUGAAUCAUUAAUUCUCAUUCUUAAUCAUCAUACUGUGUGAAAUUGGAAAUCGAAGAAAAUCUAUUUUAUGCAAUCAAUCAUUCAUAUAUAAAUAAUGUUAUGAUCAAUGGCAACAUACCCAAAUUUACUAUAAAGAAUGUGCCAUAUUAUUCUUAACCAUUUUGACAGUUUAUGUUUUAUUUUAUACUGAAUUACUACUUUCAAAACAGCUUAUGCUUUUUUUUCUUGAUUGCAUAGGAUUUUUGGACACUGAAUCUUAAAACAAACCAAUGGGAACAACUACUUUUGAAAGGAUGUCCAACUGCACGCUCAGGACAUCGCAUGGUAUGUCUCUUUUUAUUUGCUACUUUAGUGCUUACACCAGUGGUAAGUACUUGCCUAUUCCAUAAUUCCCUUUUUACUUUCAUUUUUAUAAUAGUUGAUUGGAAAAUAAAUAAUGUUAAAUCUUACAUAGGUUAAACAUUCCUAAUUCACAUAGUAUAUUGAUGCAAUACAAAGUGGUCUUGGUUAUGCAUCCAAGGACUUAAUUGGAAAUGACCAAGUGGAAGGUAAUUGGCUUGACCAAGGUCAAGCCAAUUCAUAUCAUUUUUAGGGAAUAUUUAACUCACAUUAUUGGGUUGCUCAUUACCAAUAAUGUGAGUAUAAAUACAAUGGGCCCUUGAGAGGAAGAUCAGUUUAGAAUAUUGUGCAAACAAGGUAUUACCUUAAUUACUCCUCUCUCUCAUUGCUGAAUAUCUUCUACUUCUUCUUGCUUUUCUUACCACUACCUUCACUAUUAUUCACUGUUCUUAGAUCUAGAUCAAAAACUUGGUGGAUUCCAAGCCCCGAUUUGGUCAUUGUGAGGAAGAUAUCCAUCUUCAUCACUGUUUUCGUUUGUCUACUGCAUUGGAGAGUUUCCAACUACAUCAGGUGGUAUCAGAACUUGGUUAGUGAUCGGAAGCUCUCCAAAUCAUGGUUGAUGAUCAUGUGUCGUGCCAAGAAUGCGAAGCUACGACGAAAGCCAUUGCAGAUCUUACUACUGCAAUGCGAGAAGAAUUUCAGGAGUUAAGGAGAUCCAUUACAGCUCCGGGAGAACCGAUGGUGACUGCUGACGGUCGCCCACUACCUGAUCGGAGGCAUCUGGAUCCGUCGUCCACUGUCUUAGAACCACCAGCGGGUGUGUAUCAACGUUGGCCAAUAGAAGAUAACCUGUCUGCACUUAUCAGAGAAGGAACAAAAUGCAGAUAGAUGGGGGUCGACGUUCGCCGGAACCAGUAGCGCCGUUCUUUCCUCGCCGGCCGGUGGACCUUCCGAUAAACACUUAUCAGAGGAGAGGUAAUAAUCUUACUAAUCACUUAGAUCAGUUUGCAGAAUUGUUUGAUGAUGAAUAUGAAGAUGUUGAGUAUAUGCCACCAUGAACCAACCAAAGAAGGCAGCAAUAUCAGAGGAUGAGAAGAGAAUUCACUGAUGCGAACGAUUGUGGAAUUGUGGAUCAGAGGCAAUACCCGAGGAGGCAAGGGCAGUUCAAGCUGAAGAUGGAUAUUCCAUCAUUUAAUGGGACUGCCCAUAUUGAGGAGUUUCUGGAGUGGUUAGUAGAGGUAGAGCGUUUCUUUGACUAUAUGGAUAUAGAUGAGGAUCAACAGGUAAAAUUGGUGGUGCUGAGGUUCAAGGGCGUGGCUUCUACCUGGUAGACUACCACUAAUAUAAAGAGAGCUAACCAAAGACCAGUCCGCACUUGGCAAAAACUAAAAAAAUUGCUUAAACAAAGAUUUUUGCCAAGCGAUUAUGAGGGAGUAUUAAUUACACAGUACCAUCAGUGCUGCCAGGGAGUAUGUGACAUAAUCAUUGACAAUGAAUCAACGGAUAAUUUAAUCUCUUGGAAGGCUGUAAAGAAGUUAAAUUUGACACUGGAAGAUCACCCUAAACCUUAUAGUGUCUCGUGGAUCCACAGUGGAAGUUCAGUCACAAUCAACAAGAGUUUUAAGGUCCCACUGUCAAUUGGGAGAAGAUAUAAGGAUGAAAUCACUUGUGAUGUGGUUAAUAUGGAUGCGGCACACGUAUUGUUAGGUAGACCAUGGCAGUAUGAUGUGCUUGCACAUUAUAAUGGGAGGACUAAUCAGUACAUAAUUAAGGUGGAAGGACUGAAAGUGGCUCUACUACCAUUGGCACUUGAAAAAAAUCAACCAUCUGAGAAGCCAAAUUUGUUAGUCACAACACAUGGGGAUUUUAGGAUGACACUUGCUGAAAACGGUACUGGGUUAGCACUGAUAGUGAAAGAAAUCACUGAAAGUAAAAUAAUCUGUAUUCCUACUGCAAUAUCAGAAUUAUUAAAGCAGUUUCCUAGUGUCACUGAAGAAGAACUGAAAGUUCUACCACCACACAGAGCUAUUGACCACAGGAUUGACCUUAACCCUGGAGCCUCAUUACCAAAUUUACCUCAUUACAGAAUGAGUCCAGUAGAAUCUGAAAUAUUUUAAAAUCAAGUAGAGAAAUUGAUGAAGGAAGGACUGAUCAGACCAUCCAUUAGUCCUUGUGCAGUUCCAGCCUUAUUGGUACCCAAAAAAAAUGUGAGUGGAGAAUGUGUGUUGAUAGCAGAGCUAUCAACAAAAUCACAGUGAAAUAUAGAUUUCCUAUACCAAGGUUGGGGGAGUUGUUGGAUGUGUUGCUAGGAUCUAAAUAUUUUACAAAAUUAGAUCUAAAAAGUGGUUAUCACCAAAUAAGGAUAAAAGAAGGGGAUGAGUGGAAAAUUGCCUUCAAAACCAGCAAGGGAUUAACAAAACGGUGGUGGUUUACUUUGAUGAUAUAUUAAUAUACAACAAAGAUAAAGAAACACAUAUUGAGGAUAUAAGCAAAGUAUUACAGUUACUGAAUGAAAAUCAUUUGAAAUUGAAUUUACAAAAAUGUGAUUUUAUGGUUCAUGAAGUGCAUUUUUUGGGAUAUAUAGUUAGUGCUAGUGGACUGAAAGUGGAUCCUGCAAAAACAGAAGCAUUGAGAAGCUGGCUGUCUCCAACCAAUGUAACUGAAGUAAGGAGUUUCUUGGGGUUGGCCUCUUUUUAUAGGAGGUUCAUCAGGGACUUUUAAGUGGUCUUAGUUAUGCAUCCAAGGACUUAACUUGGUGGCCAUGAUAGUAUUAUUGAAGUUACUCAUUCUAUGAGCCAGAAUCUUUCUAUCAAUGAUUGUGUAGUUACUGAUAGAAAUACAAUUCAAACAAAUGGAAAUUUUAAACCCCGAGUGUGCUCAUCAAAUGAGGUCAGUUGCAGUAAAGUUUAAUGCCAUUUUAUUAUUGGUGUAUUACUCUACCAUAACAAUUCAAUUUUAGGCAGUGAAACCUUGUGGACGUAUCAAUUCUUGUAUGUUUGUUGGAAGAGAUACAUUAUAUCUUUAUGGAGGUAUGAUGGAAAUCAAAGAUCAAGAAAUCACACUUGAUGAUCUUUAUACGUUAAAUCUUAGUAAACUUGACGAAUGGAAGUGUAUCAUACCGGUAUAUUUAAAUUUCAGUCUUUCAUUUGCUACUUUAAAGCAUAGAUUAAAAAGCGACGCUUAAAGCGUCGCUUUAAUAGCUUAAAGCGGAAAAGCGCUCCUGGAGGAGCGCUUUCCAAAUCGCUUUUUUUAAGCGGGUGAGUGGAUCGGGUUAGUGGGUUUCUACCCAUCACCAGGCAGUAGAAGCUUAGAGAAGGGAGGAGGAGAAAGAUAUGUAAGCUGCAGUAGAAGCAAACUCUUCAAACAGAUUUCUUCCUCUUUUAUAGUUGCUGGAAGUUUCUCAUGGUCCAGCACCUGUCUGGCCAGGUGUCUUCCCAAAUUAGACACCUGGUUGGUUUGUUACACCUAUAAAUAUUACACAUAUAAAUUACACCUAUAAAUUACACCUAUAAAUAUUCAUCACCUGGUUGGUUUGUUAAACGGUGUAACAAGUUAUAUUACACCUAUAAAUAUUACAUGUUUACUGUAAUAGGAAAUGAUAAAAAAAUACCCUAAAAAUAGCUUAUAAAUAGGAAAUGAUAAAAAAUACGUGUAGUAAGAUAACAUUUUCAGCAAGGUGGAAAUGUUAUUUUACACAUUUUACUACACGUUUGCAGUAAGAUAACAUUGGGUCUUGUGUUUUCAUCAUUCUAUUAGCUACCUGUCUGCAAAUUAUAUGAAAAGUUUAUGUAAUUUCAUCAUUCUAUUGGGUCUUGUAUUUUAAGCAAGUUGCUCUAAGUUUUCGAAAUUUAAUCCAAAAAAUUAAAAAUAAUUUGGAGAUGGCCAAAGAAAGAAAUCUAUUAUUAGAACAUGGUUAUAAAAACAAUAAUGACCAUGAUAAUGACAAAAACAGGGAUUCUUGUAGUGUUUUAUUUUUACAUCGAAUUGAAGAGUUUUAGUUUUAACAGAAUGCUAGAUGAGAAAGGAGACGGAAAAGACAGAUGAGUAUGAACGAAAGCCUCUUUGGAUUAUAGAUUGAAAACUAUAUAAAGGGUAAAAGCUAGCCUUUUUUUUGCGUUUUUCAAAUUUAAAACGAAAGUAUUUGAAAAACAAAUGUUAAUAAUAAUAUAGAUAACUGAUUGUCUCAGUUAAACCUUUGUAUAUCACUAUUAUGAAGGUUUUUAACUGAAAAUAAGUAAAAUUAUAUAUUAAUAUGACCCGCCAAACUCAAUAAUAAAGCCAUAAGAGCACAUGAGAGGGUAGAGUGAGAGACGGAAGAAGAUGACUGACUCAUUAUACCCGUCAAACAUGUCGGGUCUAGGUUCGGGUGGAUAUUUUCAGCUAUGAAAUCUGUUGAACCUGAAUUUUUUUCACCCGAUUUUUUCGAGUUCGGGUUGAAAUUUUUUUAUUAAAAAAACCUUAAAAUAAUUGUCGAGCUCGUGAGCUUCGAUCUUGAGUCUGGACAAUGCCUUAACGAGUUCGAGCCCGAGCCUGAAUAAUUCUUUAACGAGUUGAGCUCGAGUCCGAAUCCGGCUCUAUAAGCAAAAGCUUGGCUAGUCUUGUUUGACACUCUAGCAGUAGCUAACCUUUUUUUACGUUUUUCAAACUUAAAACGAAAGUAUUUAAAAAACAGCUGUUAAUAAUAAUAUAGAUAAAUGAUUGUCUAAGUUAAACCUUUGUACGUAUAUCACAAUUACAAAGGUUUUUAACUGAAAAUAAGUAAAAUUAUAUAUUAAUAUGAGUAUAUGACCCGUACUGUAUAAAUGAAAAUAACAAGCUGUAAUUCGUUCGAACGUCAGACUCAAUAAUAAGGGAAAGUAGAUUGAAAGACGGAAGAAGAUUCGUUAGUUUUUUGUCAUUUUCUAUUAUUUAAUAACGGUGGUUUAAUUAAUUGAAACAUAUUCGUUGGGAUUAUUCACCAAAUAAGAUUCCAUCGAUCUCAACUUUCAUUGUUUUCUUCAACAUUUUCAUACGGAAGUAUUAUAAAUUGCUGGUUGUUCAUGAAAUCAGAAAUCUUAUACAUGUUUUAAAUUAUUUGUCACCAUUUUAAAUUGAUUUCUUCUGAUGACAGAUAACCUAAAAUUUUCUAUUCAUGCUGCAUUAUGUCAGUUUUUGGAUAGAUCGACCGUGAGUCAUGUUCAAAGAAAAACCUUUGGGUGAUGGUUGAUUCGCUGUUCAUUUAAAUGAUUCUUUAUUCAUGGCUCACAUUUAUUUAAUCUCUAUAUAUAUAUAAUUACUCCGUCGAUAGUAUAGCUCUGUCUCUACUUCCAAAAUUCCGAACAUUGUCAUUCUACCUUUCAAGAUUUCUUCUCCACAACCAAUCGAAGCCAUGGAAUCGGUGCUAAUAUCAUUUAUUCUGGAAGAGGCCUCAAAACAUUUGAUCAAAGUUCUGGGGGCGGAAUUCACACUCAUAAAAAAUACUCCGGGCGAAUUGGAAAAACUGAAAAGAUUCAAGACAAUCAUCGUCAAUGUUCAACGAGACGUCGCCGGUCGGGAAUUAAGCCAACAAGAUGUUGUCUGGCUGGAUGAGAUGAUAGAUGCUGCGUAUGAUAUCGAGGAUAUCGUAGAUCUGUUUAAUACAAAGAUUCUUCGACGGAGAAGCAACAACAACAGGAUAUCAACACGGUAUACCCGUCGGGUAAUUGAUUUCUUCUCUUGCACCAAUAAUACUCUUAUUUUUCGCCACAAAAUAGGAACUAGGGUGCAAAAUACAUUCGUUAGAUUGGCUAAUAUUGCGGAAGAGAAGAAAUAUCAUCUUACUCUUAGUGGGAGGGAUGGAGUAGAAAACCUGAGAUCAACAAUGCCUGAGACCUUUUCUGAAAUGGGUGAGGAUGAUGUACUGGGAAGAAAACAUGAUCUUAAAAUUAUACUUGAAUAAUUAUUGUUCAAAGAGAAAACAAACAGCGAGGUGCUUGUUUUAGUCGGAAUGGGUGGUGUUGGGAAGACCACACUUGCAAAACUCGUGUACAAUGAUAGCCAAGUAGAUGCUAUCUUUGGUAAAAGAAAGCUUUGGGUUUGCGUAUCAGAAAAUUUUGAUCUGUCGAAAAUUAUCAAACUUGUUAUUGAGCAAAUAGAUGGACACCCGUGUCAACUCGAAGGAUUGCAAGCGUUGAGCAAGAAAUUGAAAGAGCUUUUAGAAAAAAACACGUAUUUAUUAGUUUUGGACGAUGUUUGGACCAGUUCAAGUUUAACUUUGGAUUCUUGGUCGAUUAUGAAAUCAUUGUUUCGUAAUUGUAAGAUUCUGGUAACAACUCGUGAGGAGAAUGUAAAAUAUGUGAUUUUACCAGAAUCUUGCAUACAUCGUGUGGGAUAUCUAUCUUAUGAUGAUUCUCGGACAUUGUUCGAGAAUAUUGCAUUUCCCAAUGGUGAUGUUCCAGAGAAAUUGAAAGAUAUCAGCAAAAGUAUUGUGAAAAAAUGCGAUGGUGUACCUCUAUCUCUGAAGGUUCUUGGUAGUAUGAUGCGAACCAACCAAGAUUACUCUUACUGGAUAGGGAUUGAGAAAAACAAUAUUCUCGAUCCUAAUAUUAAAGGUGAAAAUAGAAUAUUCAAGAUUCUAAAAUUCAGCUAUUAUCAUCUUCCUUUAAAGUCAAAGUUUUGCUUUGUCUACUGUUCUAUUUUCCCCAAAGAUUCAGUUAUGUUUAAAAUAGACUUGAUCCGACAAUGGGUUGGCAAUGGUUUUAUUCCGCUUAACGAGGGAAAUGAGAUUUUCGACGAUUUAUUGUCAAGAUGUUUCUUCCAAGAUGUCGAGAAAGAUGUUUACGGAAGCAUCACAACAUUUAAAAUGCAUGAUUUAAUCCAUGACCUUGCUGAAUCUAUUGCUAAGUCUCUGCAAUGUGGAAUCUUGGAUGAUAGUAUUCAAGAUAGAAAUCUAUCAGAUAGAAAGCAAGUUCGUUAUUUAUCGAUAAUAUUAAACAUGGGAAAAGAAGAAGAAGCUUCUUAUUCAAAUAUUUUGAUCAAAUUGAAAGAUGCAUGUGUGCUACGAACAUUGCAGUUGUUAUCUUAUGGUAUUGUAAGUAAGACAUUUCUGGAUAAUUGCUUCACCAAGUUCAAAUUCUUGCGGGUUUUGGUUUGUUUUGCUCAGUCUAAUCUUGAAGAUAUCCCACCUUCCAUCAACAACCUCAAGCUUCUUAGAUAUGUUGACUUCUCAUUUACGAAUAUAAGACAACUCCCAGAAACGGUCUGCAACCUUCAAAAUUUACAGACGUUGAAACUCAACAAUUGUCGAUAUCUUAUUGUUUUGCCAAAGAAGUUGAGAAAAUUAUCCGAGUUAAGGUAUUUGACAAAUGAUAAUUGUUCUGGUUUGGAUUCAAUGCCUGAUGGGAUGGAUCGCUUGAGUCUUUUGCAGACAUUGGAUAUUUUUGCAGUGAAUGAUGGAGGUAAAAAUUUAAAUGAUUUACGACAUCUGAAUCAUCUAGAAGGAAGUCUUUGUAUAAAAAAUCUUCACAGAAGUCGAAAUGUUGUUUUGGAAAAUGGAAUAUUAAAAAGUAAGAGCAAACUUGUAUCAUUGGAAUUGAAUUUUGGAUAUAAUUGUAAACCGACUGAAGAUGUAAAAGUAUUAUAAGCUUUACAACCACAUUCCCAUUUGAAAUCUUUAUGUAUAAGUUCUUUUGGUGGAUUCUUCAUUCCCUUAGACAUGAGUUCUCUUAAAUCCCUUACACAUUUAAAGAUUUCAAGUUGUGAAAACCUUACAUGUCUUCCAAACAACAUGGGUUCUCUUAAAUCCCUUACACAUUUAGAGAUUCAAUUUUGUAAAAACCUUAAAUGUCUUCCAAACAACAUGGGUUCUCUUAAAUCCCUUACACAUUUAGAGAUUUCAUAUUGUGAAAACCUCACAUGUCUUCCAAACAACUUGGGUUUUCUUAAAUCCCUUACAUAUUUAGAGAUUUCAAAUUGUCAAAACUUCACAGGUCUUCCAAACAACUUGGGUUCUCUUAAAUCCCUUACAUAUUUAGAAAUUUCAAAUUGUCAAAACUUCACAGGUCUUCCAAACAACUUGGGUUCUCUUAAAUCCCUUACACAUUUAAAGAUUUCAAAUUGUCAAAACCUCACAUGUCUUCCAAACAACAUGGGUUCUCUUAAAUCCCUUACACAUUUAGAUAUUUCAUAUUAUGAAAACCUCACAUGUCUUCCAAACAGCAUGGGUUCUCUUAAAUCCCUUACACAUUUAAAGAUUUCAAAAUGUCAAAACCUCACAUGUCUUCCAAACAACAUGGGUUCUCUUAAAUCCCUUACACAUUUAGAUAUUUCAUAUUGUGAAAACCUCACAUGUCUUCCAAACAGCAUGGGUUCUCUUAAAUCCCUUACACAUUUAAAGAUUUCAAAAUGUCAAAACCUCACAUGUCUUCCAAACAACAUGGGUUCUCUUAAAUCCCUUACACAUUUAGAUAUUUCAUAUUAUGAAAACCUCACAUGUCUUCCAAACAGCAUAGGUUCUCUUAAAUCCCUUACACAUUUAAAGAUUUCAAAAUGUCAAAACCUCACAUGUCUUCCAAACAACAUGGGUUCUCUUAAAUCCCUUACACAUUUAGAUAUUUCAUAUUGUGAAAACCUCACAUGUCUUCCAAACAGCAUAGGUUCUCUUAAAUCCCUUACACAUUUAAAGAUUUCAAAUUGUCAAAACCUCACAUGUCUUCCAAACAACAUGGGUUCUCUUAAAUCCCUUACACAUUUAGAUAUUUCAUAUUAUGAAAACCUCACAUGUCUUCCAAACAGCAUGGGUUCUCUUAAAUCCCUUACACAUUUAAAGAUUUCAAAAUGUCAAAACCUCACAUGUCUUCCAAACAACAUGGGUUCUCUUAAAUCCCUUACACAUUUAGAUAUUUCAUAUUGUGAAAACCUCACAUGUCUUCCAAACAGCAUGGGUUCUCUUAAAUCCCUUACACAUUUAAAGAUUUCAAAAUGUCAAAACCUCACAUGUCUUCCAAACAACAUGGGUUCUCUUAAAUCCCUUACACAUUUAGAUAUUUCAUAUUGUGAAAACCUCACAUGUCUUCCAAACAGCAUGAGUUCUCUUAAAUCCCUUACAUAUUUAAAGAUUUCAAAUUGUCAAAACCUUACAUGUCUUCCAAACAACAUGGGUUCUCUUAAAUCCCUUACAUAUUUAAAGAUUUCAAAUUGUGAAAACCUCACAUAUCUUCCAAACAACAUGGGUUCUCUUAAAUCUCUUACACAUUUAACAAUUAAAUAUUGUCCAAGUUUGGUUGAUGAUUCUUUUGCCCUGGAAUGUCUUACUUCUCUAAAAGAAAUAGAAGUGACCGGCUGUGAUCAAUGGAUUAGAAAUUGGUCUGAAGAUGCAAUAACCAGAAUUUGCUCAGUUGAAGAAAGUUCAUGGAUUUUGAUAUGCAAUAAGGAUGAUGAUAUUGAUUUAUUGUCUAGAUGGUUACGAAAGAAGAUUGAAUAUUCUACCAAAAUAUCACAAACAUUGAUAAUCAACGGUCAUCAUGCAAAUAAAUAUUGUUACUAUGGAGGGAGAUACCAGCUCAUUAUUUGUUGUUUUGAACAAGAGAAAUUGCCAGAAGAGUUGGUGCAUGUCCAGGAUCUUAAAUUCAUGUACAUUAAAAAUUGUCCAAAUCUGAGUUGCUUGCCGGAUGGGAUGAAAAAACCACAAUUUUUGAAGAUUGAAAAUUGCCCUAUGUUGGAGAAGUAUUGUGAAGAAAUAUGUUACGAGUAUGAUGGUUAUAAUUAAUUCUUCACCUAAUCCAAGAAGAGCUAGCAGAUUUUAUCUUGAUGAACAUAUUUCUACCACAACAAUUCCAAUGGUAAAACUUCGUUUUUUUUACUCAUUGUGUUUUAACAGGAUUUUUUGGAACUGUUUGUAAUUAGUUGAUUUUUUCGGAACUGAUAGAUUUUCUACCGGUUACAUAUACUCCUUACUAUCGGACCUGGUUCGUAUUUCUUCAUCAGCGGUGUUUCCACACAUUGCAAAAAAGGACAGAAGAUGAUCGUCAAGGUUUUAUCUACUUAUAUUAACCAUGUUCCGUCAGAAUCUCCAUCAGAAUCGCCGUCUUCGUUUCUUACAAAUCGAACUGACUCCACUCCUGCAUCUUCUCCUGAAACGCCGAAGCCGAAGUCCAACGAUGUUGUUGCGACUAACAUCUUCUUUGCAUUGUCGCCUCUUUGUGCGGUCUUGUAUCUUUCUUCUUUCUUUGAUUGUUGUAGAAUCUAUUUUUGUUUGAUUGUUGAAUAAUCUUUUUUUAAAACUUUCUUUCUGCUACGACUCCCUGAGCAUAGUGGAUCUGCUACGACUCUCUGAGUCUUACACUUGAAAUGAUUUCUAUAAACUUGAUUAAAUGGAAUACUAAAUGGCGGGAAGAGGUAUUUAAUUGGGUUUUGAAAAUCAAAUUGGUCUCAAUCUUUAUUUAUAAUUAUUUUAUAUAUAUUAUCAUGGUUUAAAUAAUAUCUUAUCUUCCAAUUCAACUGCGUUUUACAAACUUGGAUGAUAUCUACUUGUUCAAUUUCAUCUAUCUUCGGAAGUGAAAAACAAAGUAGUUGAGUUAAUGGUUUGAUCAGGUCGUAUAUUAAUUUCAACUUUGAUUUUUUCCCAAAGAGAUUCCUUUCAUUUUAGCCGAUGAGGAUCAGAAUCUCUAGUAAAUAUCACAUAAAUGGUUGGCCAAUGUUGAUUGUCUCCAUUAAUGAAUUUGGACCAUGCUUUCCUGCUAUGUCUGGAAAUAUAUUAAUAUUAACAAACAUAUAUAUCACAUGUUUUCAUGUGUCCAAUUUUUCAUCAAUGAAUAUUUAUCUAAUUAAGAAAUUAAGAUAAAAACAGUAUAAUCCAAUAUCUUAUACCUCCCAACAAGUAUUUGAAGUUGAGGAUCGAUCAAGCUCCAAAUGGUAUUUUUUAGAUAAGAAUCUAGUUUAUCUGUUCCAAGAACCUGAAAAAUAAAAUAGGAACGUACAUGGUUUUUUGUUUGAUCUAUAUACAAAGAGCUAAAAAACUUCAAUCAUUUAAUUAAAGCAUACCACCAGAUGACAAUCGAUGAUAAAUCACAAAGAAUUAACGAUAGAAUUCAUUGAUGGGAAUAAGAGAGUGCUGCUACAGGGAGAUCCCUAUCUGUCGGAAUCAGAAAUUAUGUACAAAAUCGAGUUUUUUUGUUGUCUCCAAAACUACUGGCUAUUGUAUUUAUCUACCGUGGGAUGUUUAUUUGAAAUCUGUCUAUCUUGGUGUAGACGUAUGUCUAUAGUGAUCUCUAUCGCUGUGGUGAUCUCUAUAGACGUACUAGCAGAUUUCUAGUCCUAAUAGCCCACCUCCCCGCAGUGCACACCAAGAAGUUGCUUGGAAGGAUCAUCUAUAUAUGUUUGGUAAGUUAAGUUGUACUUGAAGUGCUAUUAUUUAAUGACAUGAACAUAUUAUUUAAUCAAAUUAAGUUGUAAUAUAUAAAUAAAUACCACUAAGUGAAUUUUAAAAUGCUUAAUUCCCUUAACCCAACUUCCGUUUCUCAAUCUCUACAUGGUAUCAGAGCCUUCUAAGGCUCCAAUACCACCAAUCUCUUCCGCUACCACCAAUCCACCUCUGACGAUGUCCGAAGACUCUGAGUGCUCCCGUGGUCGAGCCAAGCUCCCACUGAAGUACAACAUAAACUCUGUCUUCCGAACGGCGAUGGAAAAGCUCGACUAUACUUGCUGGCACUCUCAGUUUGAGACAGUCCUCGAGCUCCAUGAGCUCACACAGAUUGUGAAGGAGGACCCGCCAUCGACAGAAGAAAGCCUUGACUACGAGGACUGGCGACAUGCUGACCGGUUGGUCAUGACUUGGAUUAAGUUCACCGUCGCCACUUCCGUCAAGCAGAUGAUUAAUGUUUCCUACAAAAUGGCCAAGGAGGCAUGGGAUCGAUUGGAGAAGUUUCUCUCCCCACUAUGCGUGAUUCACGUGAAGAAUCUUCGCAACAAGUUGCGCACGGCCAAGAAGACCCUUGAGAAUUCUAUGACGGAUUACUUAGUCAUGAUUCGCACCACUACUGACGCUCUAGCCACGGCAGGCUCACCAGUCCCGGACGAUGAUAUUGUAGGCUACACGCUUGAUGGACUCGACUUCAACUAUAUAAGGAUCCAGUCGACGUUGCAACUCCAAACAGGUCUGACGUUUGAUGAACUUCUGUCCUUACUAAUCCGCGAGGAGGAUUCGAUUCAGAGGAACCAACCACCUGAAACACCGGCGGCACUAUAUGCACGAAACAACGCUCCACGAACAGGGGAGUCUGGACGUGACAAGAGUCGCAACCGAGGUCGUGACAGAAAGGGAAAAUCGAAUCGCUAUAAAGGAAGUAGGACCGACGACAAAUCAAAAACCGUUGAAGAACACACUGCUGCUCCUCCCACUGGAUCAGGAACGACUCCACCGCUGCUACCAACACCGACGGCGAUGCAAUUUUCCAGCCCAUGCCAAAUCUGCGCGCGAUUCGGACACCACGUGAGAGCUUGCCCAGACAGGAACAAUCAUGUGUUUGUUGCAGAUUCUACAACCUCUGGAAUGUCUGCCCUCUCACUAUCUGGUCCAACCUCAGGGGAAAGUUCCACUUCUGGGUCAUCUGCAGGCGACUGGCGCCUUGACUCGGGAGCCACGCACCACAUUACUCCGUCGUCGUCCGCCCUGACUCAACCUCGUCGGUACAAUGGUAAUGAUCGAAUUUAAUAGGAGAUAGAUCAUCUCUUCCAAUUGCCCACUCGGGCACUAUUGAUGUACGCACGGAGGAUGGUGAGAUUCGACUCACCAAUACCCUCCACGUACCUGGACUAUGUCGAAACCUUCUAUCCAUGAAGUGUCUCGCCACUGACCUACAAGCUUUCAUUCUUAUUGACGAAUUUGGUUUCACCGUGAAGGAGAAAGCGUCCGGGAGGACGAUCGCUCGUGGACUUAAUAACAAAGGAAUGUACCACUUGUCCGGUCGACACUUUAGAGGUGCGGCGAUGACAGGGGUGGGGUACACACAAGUGUGGUCGGGUGGCACCACAUGCUCGGCCAUCCAUCUGAUACCGUCCUAAAGAAAGUUAUCUCGCUCGUUCCAGUUCGUGGCCCUUCGCGACCGCAAUUUUGUCAAGUCUGUGCCUUGAACAAAGGCAGACGACUGCCGUUCUCCACGAGGCCCUCCAGUGCCUCUCGGCCACUGGAAGUGUUACAUCUCAAUUUGUGGGGACCGGCGCCGGUGGUCUCUAAGGAGGGAUACAAGUUUUAUUUCAGUAUUGCUGAUGAUUUUUCCCAAUUUUCUUGGAUUAUGCCUAUGGUGUUUAAAUCAGAAUGCUAUGCCUAUUUCUCUAAAUUUGUUCGUCGAAUUGAAAAUCAACUUACUCACAGAGUAGCAUGGGUUCAAUGCGACGGGGGUGGGGAGUUCAUCAACAUGGAAUUCAGAGAUCGCAACGUACGUCGCAGCGACCGAUACGCUUCAGAGAUUUCGUGGUCGACCUUCCCAAGGAAGCCCACAUAUAAAAAAUAUCCGCGAUUUCCGACGUCGACAGACCAACUGACAUCAAGCAGAUCAGAGAGCCGCGAACAGUCUAAGAGGCCGUACUCGACCCACAAUGGGUGGCAGUGAUGGAAGUCGAACUCGAAGUGUUAUCGCGGAACAACACGUGGGACUUAGUCCAGCCUUCUCCACGUAUGAAUAUCGUCGGAUGCCGAUGGGUUUUCAAACUCAAAGAAAACUCAGACGGCUCUAUAGAACGAAGGAAGGCCCGCUUAGUCGCGAAGAGCUUCCAUCAACGAGAAGGGCAGGACUUCGAUCUUACAUACAGCCCUGUAACCAAAGCGGCAACAAUCAAAACCAUCCUCGCCUUGUCCACGGCCAAGGGAUGGCCGUUGCAUCACCUGGAUGUUUGCAACGCGUUUUUGAAUGGAAGGCUCACUGAAGUCGUGCACAUGUCACAGCCGCCAGCGUUCAUAAACAAAGAAUUUCCCAAUCACGUUUGUCGCUUGAACAGGGCUCUGUACGGCCUCAAACAAGCACCGCGAGAGUGGUACCGGCGCCUGAGUACCUUCCUCGAAAGGAUUGGAUUCGUCAAUAGUCAGGCAGACUUUUCGCUCUUCAUCCGCCGAUUCGGUCUGCAGUGUGUAUAUGUGCUGGUAUACGUGGACGAUUUCAUCAUCACCGGGAGUCACCCAGCAGAGAUUAAAUCGUUUAAGCGUACGGUAUGCAACGAAUUUCAGUGCCUAUAUUUGGGAAGUCUGUCAUACUUCCUUGGAUUGGAAGCCAACAUUGCGAACGGAAAUCUACUAAUCACUCAGAGGAAAUACUCGAUGGGGCUACUCCAACGAUUUGGGCUAGUCGAAAGUAAACCUAUGGCUACACACGAGGCUCUGGGAAAGCAUCUGUCCAAGGAUGGCGGUGAGUUAUUCGACGAUCCCCAAAGGUAUCGAAGUCUUGUAGGCGCCCUACAAUACCUGACGCUGUCGAGACCGGAUAUCGCUCACGCCGUCAAUCAAGUUUGCAAGUAUAUGCAACAUCCUACUGCCGAUCACUGGAAGGCUGCCAAGCGAAUUCUCCGGUAUAUUAAAGGCACGCUCCACAUGGGUCUGGAAUUUCGUUCCUCGAAGUCGACUGAUCUCCAGGUAUACGUCGAUUCGGAUUGGGCCGGCGAUCCAGAUGAUGGAGGUCGACGACAGGGUCCUGCAUUUUUCUUGGACCAAAUCUGGUCACUUGGAUGUCGCAUAAGCAACCCACGGUGUCGCGAUCUUCGGCGGAGGCCGAAUACCGGGCUAUUGCCUAUGCGACUGCAGAACUCCGUUGGUUAUGCCAACUACUACGAGAAUUGGGAAUUCACCUACCGCGGUCGAUUCUGAGCGACAGUAAAUCGACUAUGUUCAUGGUGAACAAUCCGGUUGUGCAAGCAAGGACGCGACAUAUGGAGAUCGACUACCAUUAUGUCCGCGAAUUUGUGGCUAACAGAUCCCUUACAGUGCAACACAUUUCAAGUGAAUUUAAGAUCGCUGAUCUGUUCACGAAGGCACUGUCCACGGAUCUGUUUCGCCAGCACCGGCGUCGACGUUCCGCCGUCGUGAUUGAAGGGGAGUAUUGGAAUACAGAUAAUGUUAGGGUCAUUAUAGAUAUUCAUACAAUCAAUGUACUAUAAAUACAGCACAUGGGCAUGUUGUAAUCUUUACGAAGUAUAAUACAGAGCAUCCCUUAACCCAACUUCCGUUUCUCAAUCUCUACAUUAAUCACCCUUGAAAAUUUCUUAAGGUGUUUCCUUUAAAUCGUCUGUUUCUGAAUUUGAAUGUUAUCAUAUAUAAAUAAUGUUAUGAUCAAUGGCAACAUACCCAAAUUUACUAUAAAGAAUGUGCCAUAUUAUUCUUAACCAUUUUGACAGUUUAUGUUUUAUUUCAUACUGAAUUACUACUUUCAAAACAGCUUAUGAUUUUUUUUCAUGAUUGCAUAGGAUUUUUGGACACUGGAUCUUAAAACAAACCAAUGGGAACAACUACUUUUAAAAUCAUUGUCUUUGGGGGCUUCUACGAUACUAUUAGAGAAGUGAGGUUGUUUUGUUCAUUACAGCUUAUUAUGUUCACGUCUUUUUCCCCCUAUUGAAGUAGUGAAAUUCUGACAGUAGAAGAAUGGAUUGAAGAAGAUCAGUAAAUUCUUCUUUAAGUUAAACCCUUGUAUAUCAUUAUUAUGAAGGUUUUUAACUGAAAAUAAGUAAAAUUAUAUAUUAAUAUGACCCCAUACACUUAUAAAUCAUAUAUUAACUGAAGAGCACAUGAAAGAGUAGAGUGAAAGACGAAGAAGCAUUUUUCUUUUAUUUAAUAACAUAAGACCAUUGGAGAUUAUAAUGGAGAUUUAAUUAAUUCAAACAUAUUCGUUGAAUCGUUGGGAUUAAUCACCAUUUUAAAUUGAUUCCAUUUAUCUCAACUUUCAUUGUUUUCUUCAACAUUUUCAUACGGAAGUAUUAUAAAUUGCUGGUUGUUCAGGAAAUCAGGAAUCUUAUACAUAUUUUAAAUUAAUUGUCACCAUUUUAAAUUGAUUUCUUCUGGUGGUAGAUAACCUAAAAUUGCCUAUUGAUCAUUAUGAAGAUCGACGGUGAGUCAUGUUCAAAUGGUUCUUUAUUCAUUGCUUACAUCUCUGAUAUUCAACAACUAAACUCUGUAUAACGAGUUGUGCUCGUUACAGUAUUAUGUUGUAUUGAUGUAUUUGACACACCAGAUGUGUGUCUUAUAUAUAUAUAAAGUAGUGUCGGGGCUUGAAUAUUAUAUUUUAAAAUGGAUUGAUUAAAAAUAUAUAUAAAAUAGUAAAAUUAGUCAACUUAAUAAUUACUUUAAAUUUUUUUGUCAACUAAAUUACUAUAAUUUUAAAUGGUUUCAAAUUAAGAAAACAUGUACAUAAAGGUAUGCACUAAAACAAUGAAUAUAUAUGUUCUUUAUUCAUUGCUCACAUUUAUUUAAUCUCUAUAUAUAAUUACUUUGUUAAUAGUUUAGAUCUGCCUCUACUUCCAAAAUUUCAAACAUUGUCAUUCUACCUUUCAAAAAUUCUUCUCCGCAAACAAUCGAAGCCAUGGAAUUGGUACUACCACCAUCUGCUCUGGAAAAGGUCUCAAAAUAUCUGAUGAACACUCUAGAGGCGGAAUUCACACUUAUAAAAAAUGCUCCGAACGAAUUGGAAAAACUGAAAAGAUUCAAGACAGUCAUCGCCAAUGUUCAACAGGACGUUGCUGGUCAGGAUUUAAGCCAACAACAUGCUGACUGGCUCGAUGAGAUGAUGGAUGCUGCGUAUGAUAUCGAGGAUAUCAUAGAUAUGUCUAGUACAGAGAUUCUUCGACGGAGAAGCAACAACAACGGGAAUUCAACUGGUUAUACCCGUCGGGUAAUUGAUUUCGUAUCUUACACCAAUAAUCCUCUUAUUUUUCGUCACAAAAUAGGAACAAGUGUGCAAAAAACAUUCGAUAGAUUGGCUACUAUUGCGAAAGAGAGGGGAUACCAUCUUACUCUUGGUGGGAGGGAUGGAGUGGAAAACCUGAGAACAGAGACCUUUUCUCAUAUGGGUGGGGAUGUUGUACUGGGAAGAAAUCAUGAUCUCAAAAUUAUACUUGAACAAUUAUUGUUCAACGAGAAAACAAGCAUCGAGGUGCUUGUUUUAGUCGGAAUGGGUGGUGUUGGGAAGACUACACUUGCAAAACUCGUAUACAAUAAUAGUCAAGUAGAUGCUCUCUUUCGUAAAAGAAAGCUUUGGGUUUGCGUAUCACAAAUUUUUGAUCUGUCGAAAAUUUGCAAACAUGUUAUUGAGCAAAUAGAUAAAAAACCGUGUCAACUCAAAGGAUUGCAAGCGUUGAUCGAGAAAUUGAAAGAGCUUAUAGAAAAAAACAUGUAUUUAUUAGUUUUGGACGAUGUUUGGACCAAUUCAAGUUUAACAGAGGAUGUUUGGUCGAAUAUGAAAUCAUUGUUUCAUAGUUGUAAGAUUCUGGUAACAACUCGUGAAGAGAAUGUAAAAUUUGUGAUUUUACCAGAACCUUACAUGCAUCGUGUGGGAUGUCUACCUGAGGAUGCUUCGUGGUCAUUGUUCAAGAAUGUUGCAUUUCCCAAUGGUAACGUUCUAGAGGAAUUGAAAGAUAUCAGCAAAAGUAUUGUGAAAAAAUGCAAAGGUGUACCUCUAGCUAUGAGGGUUCUUGGUAGUAUAAUGCGUAAAAAGCAAGAUUGUUCUUACUGGAAAGGGAUUGAGGAAAACAAUAUUCUCGAUCCUAAUAUUGAAGGUGAAAAUAGAAUAUUCUCAAUUCUAAAAUUCAGCUAUCAUAAUCUUCCUUUAAAGUCAAAGUUUUGCUUUGUCUACUGUUCUAUUUUUCCCAAAGAUUCAGUUAUGAAGAAAAUAGUAUUGAUCCAACAAUGGGCUGGCAAUGGUUUUAUUUCGCUGAACGAGGGAAAUGAGAUUUUUGACGAUUUAUUGUCAAGAUGUUUCUUCCAGGAUGUCGAGAAAGAUGUUUACGGAAGCAUUACAACAUUUAAGAUGCAUGAUUUAAUCCAUGAUCUUGCUGAAUCGAUUGCUAAGUCUCUGCAAUGUGGAAUCUUCGAUGAUAGUAUUCAAGAUAAAAAGCAAGUUCGUUAUUUAUCGAUAUUAAACAUGAGAAAUGAAAUUUCUUAUUCAGAUUUUUCGAGCAUAUUGAAAGAUGCACGUGUAUUACGAACAUUGCAGUUAUUAUCUUCUAAUAGAGUAAGUAAGUCAACAUUUC